rnacentral:rRNA from 1 species
GACGUAGGGCGCGAGCGUUGUCUGGAUUUAUUGGGCGUAAAGAGCUCGUAGGCGGCUUGUUGCGUCGACUGUGAAAACCCGCGGCUUAACCGCGGGCCUGCAGUUGAUACGGGCAGGCUAGAGUUCGGUAGGGGAGACUGGAAUUCCUGGUGUAGCGGUGAAAUGCGCAGAUAUCAGGAGGAACACCGGUGGCGAAGGCGGGUCUCUGGGCCGAUACUGACACUGAGGAGCGAAAGCGUGGGGAGCGAACAGG